rnacentral:rRNA from 1 species
GAUGAACGCUGGCGGCGUGCCUAAUACAUGCAAGUCGAGCGAACGGACGAGAAGCUUGCUUCUCUGAUGUUAGCGGCGGACGGGUGAGUAACACGUGGAUAACCUACCUAUAAGACUGGGAUAACUUCGGGAAACCGGAGCUAAUACCGGAUAAUAUUUUGAACCGCAUGGUUCAAAAGUGAAAGACGGCCUUGCUGUCACUUAUAGAUGGAUCUGCGCUGCAUUAGCUAGUUGGUAAGGUAACGGCUUACCAAGGCAACGAUGCAUAGCCGACCUGAGAGGGUGAUCGGCCACACUGGAACUGAGACCCGGUCCAGACUCCUACGGGAGGCAGCAGUAGGGAAUCUUCCGCAACGGGCGAAAGCCUGACGGAGCAACGCCGCGUGAGUGAUGAAGGUCUUCGGAUCGUAAAACUCUGUUAUUAGGGAAGAACAUAUGUGUAAGUAACUGUGCACAUCUUGACGGUACCUAAUCAGAAAGCCACGGCUAACUACGU